CUGUUAAUAUUUUUCCAAAGUGUAUGAUAGGUUACAGAUUAUAGCUCUGCACACCGUAGGUUUCGUGAUAAGUGUUUAUUGGGUGUAAAUAUUACAAGGAGAAGACUGGAGCGCCAUGAUAAAACUUGAGCUUAGAAUAGUACCUAGUAUAGAUUAGAUGCUAACAAAUACUUAUUCGCCGACUGAAUAAAUUAUAGUACUGUAGAGUUUAGGUAAGAUACGGGGUAACCUUUAUCCUGAGGUUUGUUUGCUGUUUAUUUAAUUACGAAUUCUCUCCCUUCUCAUUCUAUAAAGACGCUGGGUCAACUCACUCUGGAGGUUGUGCCUAAUACAACUUAUCUUCUUUUUCUUUGUUUUUCUACACAGAAAGUGGGAAUCGUCAGAGUGAGAAGAAAAGGUUUAAAAUGUUUGAAGAACUUUAGCGUUUUGUAACGGUAUUCCCUUACCCCUUUUCCCUGCUUCUUGAGUAUUUGUGGCUUGUUGCUGUUGUUUCUGUGAUUGAUGCCAAGUCCACUCCGGCGGCUCCUGCUCUGCUCUGUACCUUAGGCUGUGCUGGCCAUGACUACGAGCAGAAGACCCCAUUCAGAGUCUCGGAGGCUGUGUUGGAGGACAGUGAAUGGAGAGAAUGCAGUCUUGGAAAUUUGGAAAUAGUUGCCAUACCGUGAGCUGCCCUGUAGCGAGGUCUAUGUGACAAAGCACUGAGGGAGACCCCCAGCCAACAGCCAGUGAGGAAGUGAAACUCUCAGUCCAACAGACUAUAAGGGAUGGAAUCCUGUUGACAACCACGUGCAUGGACUUGGAAGAGGAUCCCACCCUAAUCACUAGUCACACGUCAGAUGGGACCGCAGCCUCAGACAGUAGUUGGACUGCAACCUCAUGAGAUACUUUGAACCAGAAGCUCCUGGCUGAGUCGUGCCUGGUUUCAUAACCCACAGAAGUUGUAGCUAAUACAUGUUUAUUGGUUCAAGCUGCUAAGUUUUGGGGUAGUUUAUCAUACAUCAAUAGAUAACUAACAUAGGCAGGUACUGAUAUUAUUUGCAUUUUUCAGAAGAGGAAACUGAAGUUUAGAGAGGAUAAGAAAUGAUGGAGCCAGGAUAUGGACCUUCAGAUAUGACUCCAGGGCUGCGCAGUUGAGAACUAGAAUCAAUUUUGGAUAGUGUUAAGCACAUUACGGUUGUUCAGUCCAGGCUGGUACUGUGCAGAAACUUCGUGCUUCCAGAUUUUAGACGAGCUAGUAUGAGCAGACGAAAGAUGGUCUCCUCCCAAGCCAGGUCAAGAUUUUAAAAGAAACACGAGAAAAAAAUUAUAGAUCAUGCAGGCAACGAUAAAGCAUUAACAUUCCAUUUCUAACAAAGAUGAUCUUAGUAUCAGUCAGAGUUCUCCAGAGGGACAAAACCAAUAGGAGACAGAUGGAUGGAAAGAUAGAUAGAUUAGAUAGAUAGAUAGGCAGACAGACAGACAGACAAGGGAGGAUUAUCAGGGGAAUUGGCUCAUGUGAUUAAGGAGGCAGGGAAGUCCCACAACAGGCUGUCUGCACACUACAUGCCCAUAGUGUAGCUCAGUUAAAGUCCGAAAGACUCAGAACCAAGGAAGCCAGUGGUGCAGCUCUCAGUCUGAGGCCCAAGGCAUGAGAACCAAGGGUGUCCUGGAGUCCAAAGGCUGAAGAGCCUGAAGUUCUGCUAUCCAAGGGCAGCAGAAGCAGGAUGUCCCAGGUUCAGGAGAGAGAAAGAAGGAAUUCUCCUUUCCUCUGCUUUGUUGUUCUGUGUGGGCCCCCAGCUGACUGGAUGGUGCCUGCCUACAUUGAGGGUAGAUCUUUCCCACUCGGUCCACUGACUCAUGUGCCAGUCUUCUCUGGAAACACCCUCACAGACACACCCAGAUUUGAGGCUUUACCAGCUCUCUAGGUAUUCCUUAAUCCAGUUAAGACCUAAAAUUAACUAUCACAGCUUCCCUGCCUUCCAGUCCACCACUCAAAAAUAACCACUCUCAGCACUUCCUUCUGUUCUCUAUUCCCUCAAAAUUAGGCAAAGCACAGCAAAUGUGGAUGUACAUUUGCAUCUAUAAAAAUAUUGUGUGUGUGUGUGUGUGUGUGUGUACACAUAUACACAUACAGUUGACUCUAGAACAUCAUGAGGGUUAGGUGCACCAAUCCCCAACACAGUUGAAAAAAUCUGCACGUUAACUCUUGACUCCCCUAAAACAAAACUACCAAAAGCCUAUUGUUGAUCAGAAGCCUUACCAGUAACACAAUCAAGCAACACCUAUUUUGUAUGUUACACGUAUUAGAUACUGCAUUCUUAGAAAAAAGUAAGCUACAGAAAAGAAAAUGUUAUUAAGAAAAUCAUAAGGAAGAGAAAAUAUACUUACUAUGUGUCACGUGGAAGGGGAUCAUCCUAAAGGUCCUCAUCCUCAUUGUCUUCAUGUCGAGUAGGCUGAGGAGGAGGGAGGAAGAGGAGGGACUGGUCUUGCUGUCUCAGGGGUGGCCGAGGCAGAAGAGAAUCUGUGUAUAGUGGACCUGCACAGUUCCAGCUCAUGUUGUUCAAGGGUCAAUUGCAUACACAACACCACACACACACACACACACACACACACACACACACACGUGUGCAAAAAUUGGGGAUCAUGGUUGUUUCUAUUAUUUAUUGCUACAUAACAAAUCACCCCCAAACAUAGUGGUCUAAAACAGCAGCAAGUGUUUGUCCCCACUUCUGGUUUCCGUGGGUCAGGAAUGUGGAAAGAGCUCAGCAGGCUGGCCUGGUAUUGCUUGUGCAGAGGCAGGCAGAGGCUGAAGCUUGGAGCACCUGAGCAUGUCUCUCUCCCCAUCUUCUUUCCACUUGUGUUAGUUUGGGCUUCCUCUCAGCAUGGCAAUCUCAGGCGGCCCACUUAGCCACUAAAGGCUUAAGAACAAGUAUCCUAGCAACGAGGCAGAAGAUGCAUCACUUUUUACAUCCUAGACUCAGUAUCACAUAUUAUCAUUUCUCUCCUCCCCUGUUGGUCAAAACAACCACAAAAGCCUGUCCAGUGUGAAGGGGAUUUCAUCUCCCAAUGGAAGAAAUGUCAAAGAAUUUGGAGACAAAGUUUUACAUUACCAUAAUGCUGUACUCACACCACUCUCAUGUGGAGCAGGUGCACACAUCCAAGAAAGUCUCUUGGGUGUAAAAGAGUGUAAAAAAAAAUUGAGCUUAUAUUUCUUUGUUUUAAUUCACCCCUUUUGCUCUAUUUUUGUAUCUGAUUAUAUACCUGUAUGUAUUCUAUAAAUAAAUAAAUACAUUGGGGGAUGUGCCCAAAUGUGUUUUUGUACAAUUUAAAAACUUUAUCAAAUAUUGCUGAAUAUGUUGCCCUUAGCCUUGCUUCUUUAUUUUCUACAUAUUAAAAUUAAAGAUCCUCUAUAUGCAAGCUCUA